AAAUUGAAGAGUUUGAUCAUGGCUCAGAUUGAACGCUGGCGGCAGGCCUAACACAUGCAAGUCGAGCGGUAACACAGGGAGCUUGCUCCUGGGUGACGAGCGGCGGACGGGUGAGUAAUGUCUGGGAAACUGCCUGAUGGAGGGGGAUAACUACUGGAAACGGUAGCUAAUACCGCAU
rnacentral:rRNA from 1 species